rnacentral:lncRNA from 10 species
AACAGAAGUCUGGCCUGGGCUCCUCUCUUGGGUGAAUUUGCAAUGCCAGAUCCUCUCUAUCAGUUUGGUUUUGUUUCUUGUAUCUCUGGGAAGGCAGGCAGACAGCACGGUCACCUGUGAAUGCAGCUACAAUUGGCUUAGCUGCCUCACUGAUAAAUGUGCCCCCAGUAAGCUACAAAGGGAUUACCAGCGUUCUCAGCAGCUAAAGGAACUGGUGAAGAUUUCCCCAGCAAAAAGUAGAAGCUCAGUGUUUCAUAGAUGAAGACUGGGGAGAUUGCAAAAGACCCAUCCAGGUACUGAUGCGGUCUUCUGGGACCAGGAACCCUACUCAUGCCUCAAGCUACCUGUGAUGAAAAGUCCAUUGUCUGCCACCUGUCUGGUAGAUCUGUCCUGAGGAUUAAUGAGAUAAUGUCUGGAGAGCCAUGUGAAGCCUUUGGAAGGAGAUUACAGAUAAAAGUCUAGUUCCAGUGAAUUAGGCUACUGAUAAGAGUACUGAAUAACAAAGCUGUGAUCAGGCUUUUAAAACGUUAUUUUGUUGAUAUUUGGUUACAGCUACUUUUAGACACUGAACUAGCCAGUGGAACAAGUUCUUUCUGAGGUCCCUGAACUUUAAACAGUCACUCUAGAACAGUCUUUCUCAAAGUCUCAACCCGAGGAGAAUUGUCUAUAUCACCAGUGUGUUUGUUAAAAAUAUAAUUUCCUGGCCUUCAACUUCAGAACUACAAAUUUGCAAAACUUCAGGAA